rnacentral:sRNA from 1 species
UGACUGCCGCGAAUACUCCCACAGGCACGC